AUCCAGCUGACGAAACCCAAAUAGGACGAAACAUGCGUCCUGGAC
rnacentral:hammerhead_ribozyme from 1 species